UGGCAUUCGAGUGGCGGACGGGUGAGUAACGCGUGGGUAACCUGCCUUACACAGGGGGAUAACACCUGGAAACAGGUGCUAAUACCGCAUAAGCGCACAGGGCCGCAUGGCCCGGUGUGAAAAACUCCGGUGGUGUAAGAUGGACCCGCGUCUGAUUAGCUUGUUGGCGGGGUAGGGGCCCACCAAGGCGACGAUCAGUAGCCGGCCUGAGAGGGUGGACCGGCCACAUUGGGACUGAGACACGGCCCAAACUCCUACGGAAGGCAGCAG
rnacentral:rRNA from 1 species